AGAGUUUGAUCCUGGCUCAGAAUGAACGCUGGCGGCGUGCUUAACACAUGCAAGUCGAACGAGAAAGGCUUCUUCGGGAGCCGAGUAGAGUGGCGCACGGGUGAGUAACGCGUAGGUAACCUGCCCCUGGUGUUGGGGAUAACACUCCGAAAGGGGUGCUAAUACCGGAUACGACGGUUUCUCGGUAAGGGGGAUCGUGAAAGAGGGCCUCUCCUAUGAGAAGCUCUUGCACCGGGAGGGACCUGCGUCCUAUCAGCUGGUUGGCAGGGUAGCGGCCUACCAAGGCGACGACGGGUAGCUGGUCUGAGAGGAUGAUCAGCCACACUGGCACUGGAACACGGGCCAGACUCCUACGGGAGGCAGCAGUGAGGAAUUUUGCGCAAUGGGGGAAACCCUGACGCAGCAACGCCGCGUGGGUGAUGAAGGCCUUCGGGUCGUAAAGCCCUGUCGGGUGGGAAGAAAGGGGAGGAGGGAAAUACCCUCUUUUCGUGACGGUACCACCAGAGGAAGCACCGGCUAACUCCGUGCCAGCAGCCGCGGUAAUACGGAGGGUGCAAGCGUUAUUCGGAAUUACUGGGCGUAAAGCGCGUGCAGGCGGGUGAGGCGGGUCUGAUGUGAAAGCCCGGGGCUUAACCCCGGAAGUGCAUUGGAAACUGCCCAUCUUGAGUUCC
rnacentral:rRNA from 1 species